rnacentral:rRNA from 1 species
CCUACGGGUGGCAGCAGUGAGGAAUAUUGGUCAAUGGCCGGGAGGCUGAACCAGCCAAGUCGCGUGAGGGAAGACGGCCCUACGGGUUGUAAACCUCUUUUGUCAGGGAGCAAGGUGCAGGUCGGGACCUGCUGUGAGAGUACCUGAAGAAAAAGCAUCGGCUAACUCCGUGCCAGCAGCCGCGGUAAUACGGAGGAUGCGAGCGUUAUCCGGAUUUAUUGGGUUUAAAGGGUGCGUAGGCGGGCAUUUAAGCCGGCGGUCAAAUGUCGGGGCUCAACCCCGGCCUGCCGUCGGAACUGGGUGCCUUGAGUGGGCGAGAAGUAUGCGGAAUGCGUGGUGUAGCGGUGAAAUGCAUAGAUAUCACGCAGAACCCCGAUUGCGAAGGCAGCAUACCGGCGCCCUACUGACGCUGAGGCACGAAAGUGCGGGUAUCGAACAGGAUUAGAUACCCUAGUAGUC